rnacentral:rRNA from 1 species
UACGGAGGGUGCAAGCGUUAUCCGGAUUCACUGGGUUUAAAGGGUGCGUAGGUGGCUUUGUAAGUCAGUGGUGAAAGCCCGGAGCUCAACUCCGGAACUGCCAUUGAUACUGCUUAGCUUGAAUCACGUCGAGGUGGAUGGAAUAAUACAUGUAGCGGUGAAAUGCUUAGAUAUGUAUUAGAACACCGAUUGCGAAGGCAGUUCACUAGGCGUGUAUUGACACUGAGGCACGAAAAGCGUGGGGAUCGAAACAGG